rnacentral:lncRNA from 1 species
ACAUGAACACAGUAAACAAGGUGUAUAACCACUGAAAGUGUAUCGCAAUGCAUCAAUAUGACCAUAAACUUCAAACACGUGCAAAUCAUUAAGCAGUAUUUCAACACAAAUCAUAUUGGCAGCAAACAAAUUGCCAGGUACCAGUCCGGAAGGAUAUUCACUACAGCUUCUAGCAUAUUGAGGAACAGGCAUGUAUAAUAUCAGCCAAUGACUCAACACAGACUGGAUUUGACAGAAAAAAGAUUGUCAUACAGGUACCAAGGAGGUAAAAAAUUCCAUAGCUUCUAACAUAAUGAUGACACUUGGGAAGGCAUGCAUAUUAUUAAGGCACUGGUCAAGUUAAAAACAGAAUAGACUACUGAGAGCAAAAAAAAUGUCAGUUAGCAGGCAGGUGGGAGGUUUAUUACAGCUUUUAAAAUAUUGAGUAAACUAUGUAAUGUGAAAGUGUGUUCCUAUUCCCAAAAAGCCCAAUAAGACCCUUAUAUAAUAUAUGGCAAGGAAAUGACGAAAAGCACCAGUUAAGAGUCAUCACCAAAACCUCAUUAAUUUCAAAGACAGUCUUACACCCACAAACCAUCAGUCCAAGCAAACAAACAGCUAUCUAAUCAUUAAGUGUAUAGCAGUAAUAGUCAUUUGUGUAUUUUAGCAAACAAAAUGUUUGGUGAUAAAAUUGCAAGGCAAAUAAUAGAUUAUAUCACAACAUCAAAAGUGAAAUAGUAGAGUGAGAUAUUAUUGGGCAAUUGCUAAUAGCAGCUCCCCAAGUGAAUGUUUAUUUUGAAAUAAAUGAAGAAUCAUUAGAUUCCUAACAAUCCAUAAAAGUAAAACAAUUGCCUCCAAAUCAAAAUAGAUGACACAUGGCUUGGGAGUUGGGACAUCCACAGAUAGCUAGCAAGUGGAUGUCCCUCCUCUUAUCCGUACAUAUGUCCAACAGACUAAUAGGGGUGUAUUCAACUGGGAUUUUAAUAGAUUGUUUUUAUUCUAUGGAUUGUAUCUAAUUUUGAUUUGGUUGAAUUCUUGAUAAAUUGUCAUAGAGUUGAUUAGAUUUUUUAAGAUUUAAGCACAAUGCUUUAAAUUCUCAUGGAUUUUGGUCGGAUUUCAAAAAACUUAAAAUACACUAAACAAUCUCACAAAAUCCAUUAUUUUCUGAAAUCCAAAAAAAUCUAUCAACAUUUGAAUAUCAUCAUAUUUUAAUGGAUUUUAAACAAUCGCAAUUGAAUAUCAUCAGAUUUUUAAGCAUAAUUUAAAAUCUUGAUUGAAUACCACCAGAUUUUGUAGCAUAAUUUAAAAUCCCAAUUGAAUACCCCGAGAUUUUAAUGGAUUUUAAACAAUCUCAUUCGAAUACCCUCAAAUUUCAUGAAUGGAAAAAGGAAAAAAAAUCCUUUAAAAUUCCAAUUGAAUACCCCCCCCCCCCCCCCCCCCCAAAAAAAAAAAAAGAAGAAUAACUUGGUAACUACAAUCAUAAAGGAGAUAGGAUUAUGAAUAUAAAAAACAUGAAGCUCCUAAAAUAUGUACUGAUGUUUGAGAAAUAACAGAGAUAAUCAAUUGUGUUAAAUAAUUUGGCAGUAUCCGCAGCUAGUUAAUAAAAAUUAACAGAGCGGCAAACUAAAAUUAUAUCUCAAAAGUGGCAAGAUAAACACACUAAUCAGAGAGAACAUACUCAUGGUGGCAGGAAACAGAUGCGAGCAUAGUCACACCCUAUUUCAAUUUAUUGUUGCCACUGAUAAAACAGUACACGCUGGGUUCGUAGCAUUCACAAUUAAUUAACAAACAGCUACAAUUAUUAAUGUGCCACCAAAAUGAGCAUGUACCAAAUUCAAAUCCAAAUUUGGCGUUAAAUAUGCCAAACAGCAACUUAAACUCAAUAAAAAACUUAACCUUUUAGGUAAAUUACGUGAAUUAGAUUUACAACCUGAAGAACUUCAUGCAAGGCUUUGAUUUGCUUCCUACACCAGUUCCAAAAGAGUCCGUUUCUGUUACACGAAAUUAAUUACUCAUUUUCAGUUAAUAAUAAUUCCAAUAAUUCUCGAUCCAAUAAUCUUUAAAUCUCCCAUCAAUUAACAAAAUCUCUAAAAAUCGCCAACGAAUCCAGCAAGAAAACAAAUUCUCUCAACCCUAACUUUACACAACCACAAAGUUAAUCACAUUCUCCACCUACAAUCUUGUCAACUUAUACAACACAAUUCAUCACACAAACCGAUAUAGAUCAACAUUACCUAAACUAAUUUCUAGGUCACACAAACUAACAUAAAUUCAAAAAUUAAUUAAAAAAAAUAAUUACUUCAAUAAAAAUAACAAAACGCAAAAUCUAGGUCAAGAUACGCAUAAUCAAAGAGUUAUAUAUAUAGAAACAUGACUAAAUCUAGGUCAAAUUGAAAAAAAUGCAAAAUUAAAGAAACGAACCAUCCCGAGAUCUCUUGGUUGCGCCGUUCCAAACGGCGUCUUGUCUGCCUCGCUUGCGGCCAAAGUCCAUGAGUAAGGAGGAGUUGUGUAAGUAUGGGUGUAAGUAUAGGUGAGUGAGAUAUAAACCCUAGGCUAGGGUUUGAGAGAGGCGGUUAAGGCGGAACUGAAAGGAGGGGUUUAAAUUUGAUUUAGUGAUGUGUUUUCAAGCCCGCGCUUACGACGAGUAACGCUCGUGUUGUUGGAUGAUUUGUAGGUAAGCACACAUGAAAUAUAUUAGUCCACAUGUGUUUGGGUUUGGAUGUAUUGACCCACCACGUUUUGAGCCCAACUCAUCGUCCGUUACUCCUUUUGUAACGUCUUCUUUAUUUUGUUUUUGUGUUCUUGGAGGUGUUUGGUCAUUUAUCAUAUUUUAUUUCGAUCUUUAUAAAUAACUAGUUGAGAAGCCGCGAGUUGCGGCGGCCUAUAAAAAUUAUAUUAAUAUUCAAUAUUAAUAUUUGCAAAAUAAAAUAAUUUUGUGGUUGUCUAUAAAUAGUAUAUUAAUGUUUCAAAAUUAAUAUUUAUAGGAUAAAAUAAAUUUAUAUUAUAAAAUUUUUGAUAUAAUGCCAAUACUAAUAUAUAAAAUUGUAAAAUUGGACUAUAAUUCAUGGUGAAAAAAUGAAAAUAAAUUUAUACACAUAAUUAACAAUUUAAAGCAUGGCGAAUCUUAAUUUUAUUUAUUUUUUUUGAAAAGUGUUCUUACAUUGUCACCUUACUCCAAUUUUUUUAGAUUGAUAUGCACAAAAACAUCUAACUUAAAUCUGUGGGAUAGCGGUCUAUAACUACCCAUACUUGCCACAACUUUUAUUUUUUAAUACAGUAUUGCUUGAACGGAGCAAACAAAUAAUGCAUGAAUAACUUUUCUCUAAACAAAGUAAAUCAUAUAAAAAUUAACUAACAACAAACAUGCCCGAUGAACAAAACAAAUAUUAUAAAAGAACAAACAACAAACAUACAUCACUAAUAGUUAAUUUAUUGAUAUCAAUCAUCAAUACCAUGUAUAUACUAUAUUCUUUUCCCGUGUUUGGAUUUGUCGACUCCAAUAUAGCGGUUUAUAACUACCUUUACUUGCAACAACUUUUAUUUUUUUUAAUACUGUAUAAACAGCUUUCACUUAUCGCUGCUGAAGAACAGCACCUCCGAGUUAGAAAUCGAACAAGAGAACUAUCACUUGAGAGAGGAGGUUGUGUUUAGAUGAUCCAAAUUGAACUCUACAAUCCAUAGAGAUAUUUAUAGGUGCAGAGAGACUUGUGUGCUACUUUUUUACAUAAUUAAAAAACUGAAACAAAAUCAGAUUAAAACUUUCAAACUACUAUAUUUCAUAAAUAAUUUGAAAUAAAAUCAGAUUUUGAAACUUACUUCUAAUAUACCCGAAACUAAAAAAGUUAGUUCUAAUUUUUGAUAUUUUUCAUCCAAAAAUUCCAGAAAAUUAGAAAAAUAGAACGGAGCGAUGUGAGAGUCGCCACCUACAGAUAUUUAUAGGUGCAGAGAGACUUGUAUGCUACUUUUUUUCAUAAAUAAAUAAGCUGAAACAAAAUCAGAUUAAAAUUUUCAAGCUACUAUAUUCCAUAAAUAAUUUGAAAUAAAAUCAGAUUUUGAAACUUGCUUCUAAUAUACCCGAAACUAAAAAAGGUAGUACUAAUUUUUGAUAUUUUUCAUCCAAAAAAUCCAGAAAAUUAGAAAAAUAGAACGGAGCAAUGUGAGAGUCGCCACCUACAGAUAUUUAUGGGUGCAGAGAGACUUGUGUGCUACUUUUUUCCAUAAUUAAACAACUUGAAACAAAAUCAGAUUAAAACUUUCAAGCUACCAUAUUCCAUAAAUAAUUUGAAAUAAAAUCAGAUUUUGAAACUUGCUUCUAAUAUACCCGAAACUAAAAAAGAUAGUUCUAAUUUUUGAUAUUUUUCAUCCAAAAGUUCCAGAAAAUUUGAAAAAUAGAACGGAGCGAUGUGAGAGUCGCCACCUACACGCCCCUCGCUUCUUCUUUAUAUAAGUAUACUAGUUGAGAAGCCGCGCGUUGCGGCGGCCUAUAAAAAUUAUAUUAAUGAUUCAAUAUUAAUAUUUAUAGAAUAAAAUAUUUUUUGGCUGUCUAUAAAAAGUAUAUUAAUGUUUCAAAGUUAAUAUUUGUACGAUAAAAUAAAUUUAUAUUAUAAAAAUCUUGAUAUAAUACCAAUACUAAUAUAUAAAAUUGCAAAAUUGGACUAUAAUUCAUGUUGUUGAAAAUAAAUUUCCACACGUAAUUAACAAUUUAAAGCACGACGAAUAUUAAAUUUAUUUGUGUUUUUUUUUUUUUAGUAAAAGUAAAUGAUAUUCAUUGCCAGGUACCAGUCCGGAAGGAUAUUCACUACAGCUUCUAGCAUAUUGAGGAACAGGCAUGUAUAAUAUCAGCCAAUGACUCAACACAGACUGGAUUUGACAGAAAAAAGAUUGUCAUACAGGUACCAAGGAGGUAAAAAAUUCCAUAGCUUCUAACAUAAUGAUGACACUUGGGAAGGCAUGCAUAUUAUUAAGGCACUGGUCAAGUUAAAAACAGAAUAGACUACUGAGAGCAAAAAAAAUGUCAGUUAGCAGGCAGGUGGGAGGUUUAUUACAGCUUUUAAAAUAUUGAGUAAACUAUGUAAUGUGAAAGUGUGUUCCUAUUCCCAAAAAGCCCAAUAAGACCCUUAUAUAAUAUAUGGCAAGGAAAUGACGAAAAGCACCAGUUAAGAGUCAUCACCAAAACCUCAUUAAUUUCAAAGACAGUCUUACACCCACAAACCAUCAGUCCAAGCAAACAAACAGCUAUCUAAUCAUUAAGUGUAUAGCAGUAAUAGUCAUUUGUGUAUUUUAGCAAACAAAAUGUUUGGUGAUAAAAUUGCAAGGCAAAUAAUAGAUUAUAUCACAACAUCAAAAGUGAAAUAGUAGAGUGAGAUAUUAUUGGGCAAUUGCUAAUAGCAGCUCCCCAAGUGAAUGUUUAUUUUGAAAUAAAUGAAGAAUCAUUAGAUUCCUAACAAUCCAUAAAAGUAAAACAAUUGCCUCCAAAUCAAAAUAGAUGACACAUGGCUUGGGAGUUGGGACAUCCACAGAUAGCUAGCAAGUGGAUGUCCCUCCUCUUAUCCGUACAUAUGUCCAACAGACUAAUAGGGGUGUAUUCAACUGGGAUUUUAAUAGAUUGUUUUUAUUCUAUGGAUUGUAUCUAAUUUUGAUUUGGUUGAAUUCUUGAUAAAUUGUCAUAGAGUUGAUUAGAUUUUUUAAGAUUUAAGCACAAUGCUUUAAAUUCUCAUGGAUUUUGGUCGGAUUUCAAAAAACUUAAAAUACACUAAACAAUCUCACAAAAUCCAUUAUUUUCUGAAAUCCAAAAAAAUCUAUCAACAUUUGAAUAUCAUCAUAUUUUAAUGGAUUUUAAACAAUCGCAAUUGAAUAUCAUCAGAUUUUUAAGCAUAAUUUAAAAUCUUGAUUGAAUACCACCAGAUUUUGUAGCAUAAUUUAAAAUCCCAAUUGAAUACCCCGAGAUUUUAAUGGAUUUUAAACAAUCUCAUUCGAAUACCCUCAAAUUUCAUGAAUGGAAAAAGGAAAAAAAAUCCUUUAAAAUUCCAAUUGAAUACCCCCCACCCCACCCCACCCCAAAAAAAAAAAAAGAAGAAUAACUUGGUAACUACAAUCAUAAAGGAGAUAGGAUUAUGAAUAUAAAAAACAUGAAGCUCCUAAAAUAUGUACUGAUGUUUGAGAAAUAACAGAGAUAAUCAAUUGUGUUAAAUAAUUUGGCAGUAUCCGCAGCUAGUUAAUAAAAAUUAACAGAGCGGCAAACUAAAAUUAUAUCUCAAAAGUGGCAAGAUAAACACACUAAUCAGAGAGAACAUACUCAUGGUGGCAGGAAACAGAUGCGAGCAUAGUCACACCCUAUUUCAAUUUAUUGUUGCCACUGAUAAAACAGUACACGCUGGGUUCGUAGCAUUCACAAUUAAUUAACAAACAGCUACAAUUAUUAAUGUGCCACCAAAAUGAGCAUGUACCAAAUUCAAAUCCAAAUUUGGCGUUAAAUAUGCCAAACAGCAACUUAAACUCAAUAAAAAACUUAACCUUUUAG